GUGGGGAAUUUUGGACAAUGGGCGCAAGCCUGAUCCAGCAAUGCCGCGUGCAGGAAGAAGGCCUUCGGGUUGUAAACUGCUUUUGUACGGAACGAAACGGUCCGGGUUAAUACCCUGGGCUAAUGACGGUACCGUAAGAAUAAGCACCGGCUAACUACGUGCCAGCAGCCGCGGUAAUACGUAGGGUGCAAGCGUUAAUCGGAAUUACUGGGCGUAAAGCGUUCGCAGGCGGUUUUGUAAGACAGGCGUGAAAUCCCCGGGCGCAACCUGGGAAUUGCGCUUGUGACUGCAAGGCAGGAGUGCGGCAGAGGGGGAUGGAAUUCCGCGUGUAGCAGUGAAAUGCGUAGAUAUGCGGAGGAACACCGAUGGCGAAGGCAAUCCCCUGGGCCUGCACUGACGCUCAUGCACGAAAGCGUGGGGAGCAAACAGGAUUAGAAACCCGUGUAGUCC
rnacentral:rRNA from 1 species